UUGUACCUGACGAUGUUCAGCGAAAUUCUCCACUCACAUCCCUCCAAUUUGAAAACGACAUUCAUGCUCACUGUCUAGAGUAUUUAAAUGAAUGGCAAGUGUGUUCGUACCACCACUUGACCAUGCUCUGGAAUUUUAAACCAUGUGUAGCUGCAACAGCCCUCACCACCACCGCAAGCCGUGGGUCAACAGCUAAUUUUUCAGAUAACUACUAAAUACUAGUACUUAUAAGUAGCACCCACAGUUGAGCCAGCUUCCUCUUCCUAUUCUCGCCCCGAGCCCUCCAAGGCUGCAAAGCCAGCGUCCAGCCGCUAUAGCCGCAGACCACCACCUUCCCCUUCCUCCAAACAUUUAACCAUUUGUAAAGCAUCGAGAAUCAUAGUAGAAAGUGAGUGACACUCAUCUCAGUCUCUCGCUAAUAAAUCGACAGCAAAAUAUCUGCUGUUUGAGUUGAUGCCUGUUCAGAAAGCAUAACCAACCUACCAUGGGAGGGGGGGAAGCAUUGUGAAAGCCUCGUGAGGAUGUCACCAAGGCCCCCUUUACAGUCAAGGAUGAUAAAGCCCGCCUGCUUGGUGUGGUGGGAGCGAUAGGCACAAAUUCGACUGGUCGCCGAAGGGUAUGAAAGUAGGGAACCAAUGAUGGUAUAAAAUAUACAAAAAAAUAAAGAUAAGAAUAGAAUAUCUACCCCUCCAUACCUUCCUGUCACCAUAUAUAUAUAUAUAUAUGCAUAUUCAUAACCUGUAUCUAAGCACACAAUAAGUUUCCACCCAUCAUCACCAAUCAUGGUGCGGGAAAUCUACACUCGACACAGAUCAACUUUGGAUCUCCACUUUUCAUCCGCAUCGCGCGGAAAUUCGCCCCCUGACAUCGCGAACAGAUGAGGCUUUCCCCGUCAUUUUCAUCAUCAUCGUCAUCAUCACCAUCACCAUCACCACCGCUGUCUUCCUCUUCAUCCUCUUCUUCUGUUUCUUCAUUUUCAUUGCUAUAUCCAUCACUGUCGUCAUGAACGUCAUAAUAUUUUUCCUCCUCCUGCCCCUCCUCCUCUGACGUGGAAACGAUAUCGCUGCUCAAUGUGCUCACCCUGCUCACCUGUUUUGAGAACGGGUGUCCCUCAUCGUGCUCAAGUGAGUCAACAGGUCGCAAACUUCCUGACGCUUGGGAGGCGAAUGUAUCCUUAUUCCAGUACAUGUAGCUCUGAUUUCCCGAGAGCAAGAGGUUGUUGUGCGAGUUUGUGGCUGUUGCUGUCGCUGCUGCUGCUGCUGCUGCUGCUGCUGCGAGAUGAUCGUUGCGGCGAUGCUUAUUUUUGGUAUGUGGUUCUGGCUGUGGAAUAUAUUCAGACGGUGCUGCACCGGAAAAGGGGCUGUCUAUGAUGGAAGGCUGUUUCAAUGAAAAGGUAGGGGUGAACGAACGUCUAGACGGCUCCCCCACUAAGUUGGAAGCUAUUGGGAGGUGGCCCUGCUGAGGUUUAUCAUUUUGCCUUGCGGGGAGCUUGCUGGGCGAGACGCUCCGAGUGAUGGAAAGGCUAGAGCGAAGGUUGUCGACGCUUGAGUUCUCUGUGCGCAUUACUGCAUUUCGCCACGAUAAUAUGCGCUCAGAAGGUGUCUUAUGGGAGGAGUCUUUCCCAAUUGACGAAGAAAUACUGUGGCGCGUAGAGACCGAGUUAUUUCGGCCAAGAA
rnacentral:sRNA from 1 species